UACGUAGGUGGCAAGCGUUAUCCGGAAUGACUGGGCGUAAAGGGUGCGUAGGUGGUUUGGCAAGUUGGCGGCGUAAUUCCGAGGCUCAACCUCGGCGCUACCGCCAAAACUGUCGGACUUGAGUGCAGGAGGGGUAAGUGGAAUUCCUAGUGUAGCGGUGGAAUGCGUAGAUAUUAGGAGGAACAUCGGUGGCGAAGGCGACUUACUGGACUGUAACUGACACUGAGGCACGAAAGCGUGGGGAGCAAACAGG
rnacentral:rRNA from 1 species